AGUAGAAGUCAGAUUACUCCAUUUCAAAUUUCAAAAAAAGAACUUCGCUCUCUCAUUUCUAAUUUCUUCAUCUUUCUUCUCAACGGCAACAUCUCCCUCCUCUCCCCCCUCUCUCCUCCUUCCCUUCUCCUCGCUCUCUUGUCUCCUUCGUCUUCCUCAGAAUCUUCACUCUUCCUUUCUCUUAAUUUCCAUUCUCUAAAAUGAAGCAUCCACCCAAGAAACCCUAUCUUGCUAAAUACCCAUCUCGCCGAUCCACUGCCAUCUUCUAUUCCUAGCGCUAACGGCGCCGGAAUCAAGGGCGGAAGACCCCUCGGAAACCUAUGUCCUCUUCCAAAGAAAAUGCUUCUACCGUCAGAUCCCAAAUUCCCAACUCCAUGGUUCCCGAUUCCAAACCCUCGCCGACUAAGUUGAAGAGCCGCCUCCAGAGACCGUUCCUGAGAAUUCCAUCCCUGGGUUGUCUGAUUGUGUUGUUAAGAUUAGAGAAGAUGUAAAAUCUGGUGUAGAAAAUUUAACAGAGGAGUGUGUAUCCACAAUGGCAGACGUUACUCGGCUUCUGAUGAAGGUUUUUAUCUUCCUCGUGCUAAUAUGCGUACCUAAGUGCACCCCUAUCCCUGCAACCAUGUAAAAUAACGUCGAGGUUCUAUUAUAUUUGAGUCGAUUAUGGUGGCUCGCUUUGGAAACUUGUUACAUAGCUACUGCCUAAAGCUUUAAAUUGCCUUCCGGAUGCACCUCAAAAUCAGCUUCAUUCUUUGUGUUUUCUAAUUUCUAGCUCACUCAAUUCAGCCAUGGAAGUAGUGAGAUGUAGGCUGGAAAAGGAGGUGAGGUAACAUGGAAUAGAAGAACCAUAACAAGAGGAGCACUGGAUUCAUUGAGAAAUGGACGAGAGAUUCCAUGGCUCCCAUUUAUGAAACUUUUGAUUAAUGGCGAUCUUGACAGGCAUUCAAAAGAGAGGAAUUUCUCUCUGUCUCUUUUAGUUGUACAUAAGAGAAGGGAUAGAAGAUUUCUGAAGGUAGAACGUUCAAUAAGUAGAAGAAUAUGAAAAGAAGAAAGAAAAUAGAGCAUGCUGAAGCAUUGCCCGAGGUAUGGACCUGGACAACUUCGAUUUCUCUUAUCUCAAGAGCUUGGAGAUUCUUUUUAUCUUACUUCACAGUUGACGUUCUUUCGGUUCUUUCACUCCCCCAGCAUGCAGGGUUCACAGAAAAAUUUGAAUUUUUCAUUAGUUGUCGUGAGCUGGCCAAUGCAUUUUUCGAAUUGACAGAUCCUAUUGAUCAGGUGGUGGUUUUAGUUCUCAUUCCAAGCUUAAGAGGAAAUUGAUUUAUAUAUGCAGUGAGGUCGUUGAAAUAUACUGUCAUUGUUCAAUAUUUGCCAAGGGUCUAUCGAAAUCUACUCAUUCUUAAAGAAAGUUAGAUGGCCUUCUAGCAUUCUCCGAGAAAGUGUCAAGGCUAAAGCUGCAUUCAAUAUCUUCCUUUAUAUCCUUGCAAGCCAUGUACGUUAACCGCCACUCU